CAUCUUAUUUAAAUGCAAAAAUCUUUGGUGAAGGCAUUGAAGUCAUCUGCAGUCCCCAACUAACUCCCAAAUCCCAAACCCUAAUCGAAGAAAGGUACAAGGUUUGCCCCACUGAAUCGACCUCAUCGGCAAAUGGACACUGAUUGCAAUUACCUCCACUCUCCUCCCUUCUGCCUCCUCCGCUGUCCCCUAGACCCCUCCUCACCCUCUACCACAGCAUCGUGUAGGGGUUCUAUGGCCGCCCCGUCAAGGUCCUCCUCGUGAUCAAGUUCAUCUUCACCUCCUUCUCCCCCCUCUCUAACAAUGGGUGGAAGAGCUGGGCUUCCAGAAUGCUCGAGAGAGAAAGGGGGGCAGAUUGGUGGUGGGGGCACCCCUUCCAGCUGCCGGCCCCCAAGGCGACCUCGCCGGACACAACUGAAGCAUCUGGCAAAGUCGUUUGGGAGGCGGGUGGCCGCCAAGCGUAACCCUAUAGCCGAUCUGCCCUCCUCCCUCUCUCUCUGAAAGGGAGGGCACAGAUUCGCGAUGGGGCCAACCCCGCCAUGCAUCGUCCCCCAGAGUGACGUCACUGGAAGUGUGGGACGUCUCCUCAGGUCGGUGCCUACGGUAAUGCCCCACCGUCAGUUUCCCUUAAACCCACUCCCCCCACGCCUUUUUUCUUUGUCCUCAUUUGCACAAGAUGUUUUUCUUCAAAUUUGAUUUUUAAUUAUCAAAGUAUAUUAAAUCAUAUACUACUUCAUUAAAAAGUUAAAAAAAUAUUUUUUAAUAUUUUCCGUCUAGUUUUUAUCGAAAGAUUGAUAGAAGGAUGGAUUUGAUGUAUAUGUAGUCAGUCACGGUCAAAAUUAAUGUAAAAAGUUAGUUGAGAUUAGAUUUAAUGGAACAUCGAUCUCUUGAUGGGUAAAUUAUUAAUUUACUCAAAAAUAAAUUUUGUUGCAAUUUUAGGAAAUCAGUACUUGGAUUUACAAUUAAUAAUGAACUGAUCACUGAUACAUCUUCUGGGUCUUGUGUCUUGGGCCUCUAACAUGGGCAGAUCCACCUAACCCCACAAAUCAAGAGCUUUUCAUUGUUCUUGUGGGCUGAGCAUCUCAGCAUAUUCAAACCCGAAAAAUCAUGAUAUUCGAAGUUGACGGGAGUGACAAAUUAUGUGAUCCCAACUAGCGAAUUCAAUGAUCCGACAUAGUUCCAGAUCUUUACCCUAACCGGAGAGCAGGCUGGACAGAGGAUGCAACCUUCUAGUUCUAAUUUGAGCUGUUACUGCAAUGGGCAGAUGCGAAAGGAGCCUCAGGAACCCCUGUUGGUAGACAACACUAUAGACACAGGCAUUGAAUGAACAAACGGCUGAAAGCUAAUAUUUGUGGUCCUUCGAGGCUUUUCCUUGCUUUUGUUUGGAGAGAUUUAUUUUAAAUUUAUAGCAUAAAAUUCACCGACAAUUAAUAUAUCCAUUUAUAUAUAUAUUUAUUAAUUUUAUUAAUUUUUUUCUCCUUGAAAGAAUUCUCUAAACUCUUUUCAUAUAGAAGACGCGAGAGUACAAUAUCGAAGCUUAGAUUAGAGGUACAUAUAUGUAUCACUACGCAUCGUUCACUGAAAUAUUCCAUGUAAUAAAUAUUCUAGCUUGAGUCACACGGUUCAUUGAUGCUUAUCACAAUGAGUUGUGUAUUCUUUUGUCGUUUGGUUGGGCGGAAUCACCAUUCUAUUCUAGCCCAAUUCCACACAUAAUUAAAGUUCGUGUUCAUCGCCUCUUUUUGGACCCCGAUUUGCAAUUCCAUCGAACUAUCAUUCUCACUUGGACUUGGAUUUGCCAUCUCCCCCUUCCCACCUCAGAUUUUGAAUUCUUUACCCUGUGGAAUUGCACCGAACCCCAGCAUGCUUUGUCGUCGCUGCCUGUUGACCUUGGCUGCUGGACCUUCGACUGACCUCCCCGAGCUGGUCUCGGCUUGGCGAUACUGGAUCUGGCCUCAUUGUGGCCAUAUCUUACUGGCAUGGUGAGUGCAGCCAUCGUGAGGUCGCAAAAACCCUAGGUUCGGGAGCCUUCGAUCGCAGAGGCUCCCCGAUGGCUCGUGAGGCUCGCCCUAGGCUUGUGAGACUCCCCGACCUCAGCCUCGAGGUCGUCUGGACCCACGACUGCCGUCACCGAGUCUCGACGACCCUCACUAAGGCUCGGCGGCUUGCGGGUUCACGUGAGCUUCCCGAGCCAAAAUCUCACCGUGCAGGUGAGAUAUGGUCACGGUGAGACCAGAUCCAGCAUCGCCGUGCUAAGAUCGGCUUAGGGAGGUUGGUUAGAGUUGCAGUAGCCAAGGUCGACGGGAGGUGGCUCGAUGACGGCGACGGCAACGAUGGCGGCGGCGACAGGCAAGGAAAUGUAAAUAGUUUUUUGUUAUUCUAUUCCAACCAAAUUUCAAAGUGCAAAAAAACAUAUUUUUGAAUAAGAAUAUCAAUUCUCGCAAUUCAAAUUCCCACCUUUUCUCAAUUCUAUUAUCCCAAUUUCAUUCCAAUGAAUCAAACGUCAUGUAAGGCAGUAGUUAUAUAGUAGUCCUUGUGGGUUCUGGAGAUCGACCAUCAAUUCAAAAAUGAGUCUAAGCACUUAGUGGUGUUUGAUAAAUUAAGUGUUUAAAAAUUAAGCACUUAAUUAGUCAAGGGAAGAAAUGUAGAAGGAAUGAAUGAAUAAGGAUAAGAAAAGUUUUGUGAGAAAUAAAGAGCACCAAUAAGUG